GCAACACUCAUUCAAAAUCACCGCUCAAACUUUUCAACUUUCUACCUUCUUAAAUUAUUAUAUGAUAUACCACAAGAAAAUUUGCUUCUCAUUUCUUGAAAACUCUCUCUCCUCUCUCUAGAAUCUGAUGCACACAGUACACCAUUCUGAUUCAGAACCCUCAAAAAUAAGCCACAUCAAUUGCAUAUUCUAGCUUUGCAUAAUGAGUAAUUACUGUAGAAAUCAAUUUCUUCUUCUUCUUUGGUUGUUGCUGCUGUUCAUCUUCAUCACUGUUCAUUGCAAUUGCUCAAGAACCACUCGCGUAUUCAAAAUAAAACCCAAAUCUCAAAAUUCAGGCCAUUUUAUGAACUGCUUACCGAAAAGGAUCCCUGUGCCAGCCUCAAGUCCAUCCAGAAAACACAAUGAAAUUGGGCUACAGUCUUGGAGAUUACCUUGAAGAUAUAUUACAGAUCAGAUAUGAAGGCAAUUUUUCUUUUGUGAAACGAAAAGGGUGACAGAAGAAAUGCACUCUUUACAUACUUUAGAGCCGCGGAAAAAUUGGGAAUUGAUAUUGUGUAUAUACGUGGAUUUGUUUAUUGGUCUCCUUUUUCUUUUCUUUUGCUUUGCUAACAAGGUUUUGCACUACAUUUUUUCUUCUGGACAAAGCACUUGCUUUAGAUCUUCUAGUAAAUGUAGCAAUGACGUUGCGAACAAAAUGACUCCG
rnacentral:lncRNA from 1 species